AUGAGAUCAGUGACAGGAAUAACUAUUCUAAUUUUUGGUAUUAUGAGUGAUGCUAAAACCACACAGAGAAGUGCAAUGGAGAAUACUGAAGAAGGACCUGUGCACCUGCCCUGUAACCACUCCACAAUCAGUGGAAGUGAGUAUGUCUAUGAGUACAUAUACUGGUAUCUACAGAUUCCUCACCAGGGCCCACAGUAUGUGAUUCAUGGUCUAAAAAGCAAUGUGACCAAUGGAAUGACCUCUUUGACCAUCGCAACAGACAGAAAGUCCAGUACCUUGAUCCUGCCCCAGGUCACCCUGAGAGACACCACUGUGUACUACUGCAUCGUGAGAGGCACACUGGGACAGAUGGGGCUGCGCCCAUGCAAUAUCUCCCUGGUGGGGAAGGGAAGCAGCAGCAGCCGUCCAAAGAGGCCACUGCAUGAGAAUGAGCAGAAGCCCAAGAGAAGAAGAAGAAAAGCAAAGGAGGAAAAAAGGAAAAUGACUAAAGAUAAGAUAGUGAGGAAAUCAAGGAGGAAUGAAAGGAAUAAAGAGGAUGAGGAAGAAGGGCUUAUAUUAUUGAAGGGACUGAGAAGCUUAUGA